UACAGAGGGGGCAAGCGUUAUUCGGAAUUAUUGGGCGUAAAGGGCGCGUAGGCGGCCUGGCAAGUGGAAGGUGAAAUCCCUCGGCUUAACCGAGGAACUGCCCUCCAAACUGCUUGGCUUGAGUCCGGGAGAGGUGAGUGGAAUCCCCAGUGUAGCGGUGAAAUGCGUAGAUAUUGGGAGGAACACCAGUGGCGGAGGCGGCUCACUGGACCGGAACUGACGCUGAGGCGCGAAAGCGUGGGGAGCAAACGGG
rnacentral:rRNA from 1 species